GACGAACGCUGGCGGCGUGCUUAACACAUGCAAGUCGAACGGAAAGGCCCUGCUUUUGUGGGGUGCUCGAGUGGCGAACGGGUGAGCAACACGUGAGUAACCUGCCCUUGACUUUGGGAUAACUUCAGGAAACUGGGGCUAAUACCGGAUAGGAGCUCCUGCUACAUGGUGGGGGUUGGAAAGUUUCGGCGGUUGGGGAUGGACUCGCGGCUUAUCAGCUUGUUGGUGGGGUAGUGGCUUACCAAGGCUUUGACGGGUAGCCGGCCUGAGAGGGUGACCGGCCACAUUGGGACUGAGAUACGGCCCAGACUCCUACGGGAGGCAGCAGUGGGGAAUAUUGCACAAUGGGCGGAAGCCUGAUGCAGCAACGCCGCGUGCGGGAUGACGGCCUUCGGGUUGUAAACCGCUUUCGCCUGUGACGAAGCGUGAGUGACGGUAAUGGGUAAAGAAGCACCGGCUAACUACGUG
rnacentral:rRNA from 1 species